CUGAAAUGAUGUUUAAAAGAUAAUCCAACUCAGAAGCCUAUGUGUUGAUAUAUAAUCUAGAGCUUUUUAACCCUGAUCAGU
rfam:Plasmopara halstedii genome assembly, contig: Scaffold_614